ensembl:lncRNA
AAGCAGCAGAUGGGUAAUUGCAGCCCCUAAGUGCCUAAUCUGCUCUCCGGGACACGGGCAGAUUUCUGAGCCAACAAACUUAAUUGAACUUUCUAUUCCAGCUGGAAAAGGUUACGGAGCUGCUGCGCACACAGCACAGGCAGAAUGAAAAGGUCAGCGGCUCGGUCCUCUCUGUAACGGAUUGACCGAAGGCACACUGUUUUGUUUUCCUUUCCUCUCUCUUUCUCUACCUCCCUCCUUUCUUCUUUUCCUCCCUUCCUCUCUCUCUGUCUCUCUUAUUCCCCCUAAAUCUUCGCCUACAACCACUGGAUUGUAAAGUUUAAUUAGCCUAGUUGAGGUUCCCUCCCCAAGCAUUUAAAGACAAGCAAUUAUGCUGACACAGUUCAUGGUCUUCAGAAAGGUUGCGUAAGCCCCCAUGUGAGAGAGGGAGAAGAAUUUUGUUUCAAGGGAAGUGCAUCCGGAAUGUCACUGCAUCCCCAAAUGCAAAAGACAAAGAGAAGGAAACCUUGCUCAAAUCCGUGUCAGUCAGCUUGCUCUGAAGUCUGAAAUUCUGAGUGUUAUAUUUUAAGAAAUCCACUGGAAUUGGAGUCUGUCCACAGACACACAGCCUGAGGCAUGGUGGUGGCACUGAAGCUGGAUCUUUAACCGUGGGUGAACUUGAACGUGCUAUGUGCUGGAGCCAGGUGGAGAAUGCCGACUCUUGCAGAGAACUGAGGGAUAUUCUUUUUAGCUGAAAAUAGAUUUUUGAGAAACACGAUUCCUGUCAUCACAUACCUGAAAUGCUGUUGUGCAGAAUAGGGAUUAAGCUUUGUCACUGUGGCUCCAGAGGACAGAACCAGAAGCUGUAGGAGGACAAUUUGGACUCAAUCUAAGGAAACAAUAUAAGGAAGUGGUUUCUAAUAAUUAAAGUGGGAAUUGGAUCAUUUGGUAGUGACCAAUCAGAGACUGGAGGACCGUUUACUGGAGAGGCAGUAAAACAGGCUGAAACAUUACAAAGAAAGUUGGACUAGAUAGCUAAUUUCUCCCAUCGCAUUCUGCAC